GGAUUACCUUCAGGACAAUUCUCUGUUUUCUGUUGAACCGUUAUCGUUGGUUGUUGCUUUACUCAACUACAGUGGUAUGUCCAUGAUAAGCGCUGGUGUACUUGGCGCUCACCGACCUUUGCUUGUUGUACGUACGUACUUCGAAUCGUCUAGUUGAUCUCCACGUAACUUGUAAAUUUAACUUGGCGAUACUGGACGCAACAAGUCGAAGCCGGUAACCAUUGUGAAUAAUUUUUGAAUUUUUGCCGAAACUCGAACAUCUCUGCGGUCGAUUUGAAGUGCAUAAUCGGUGCAUACAAAUAUAUGGGAGCAUUCUUACCAGAUCUCUGCUCUUCCUGCCACGAAAAUUGGUGUAACUGAACGUACGUACGUAAACUUCACAAACUUCACAAAAUUAAAACAUCAUUUAGGUUCGUUGAACGUGAAGCAGAAAGUCACCAAUUGAGUUAUACAACUUUGACUUUUAGACAAGGAUUGUUCCAGAGGACGAUGCCAUAUUGCUGUGUCUAAAAAAUCUCGUCUUCAACAUUGAUUGUCUAUGAAGGUAAAACUUGUUAUUAAGUAUGUUUUAGAGUAUUUCUUUGAAUUAUCCGUGAAAACUUUUCUGUUAUUUCAAAAGUGGAGUCAAUCAUUUAUUAUAGGUAUACAUAUUUAAAACAAUCCUAUAUUUCCCCCGCAUUUCGUGACGCAAAAAAACGUUGAAAUAUACAAUACAUGAAAUUACAUUGAUAUUUUGUCGAGAGAACUCUAGUUGUAAACGAUGUCACAAUUUGGUAAAGCUUUAGUAAGAUUUUCUAUAACUUUGUUUUUAUCUUUGAUGAGUGGCAGAUUUCCCAGUUUCAAUGUCUUCAAGUUUCUGCAAAAAAUAACCAGGAGUUAAGUUACAAAAUUGAUACACAAAAUUACUAAAUACCUACGAGAGUUUAUCUAUUUUGUUCAGAGCCUUCUCCGAAAUAUUUGCACAGUUGUUUACUUCGAGAUUAUUCAAACUGUCUUUUAAGAUAGAAAGAAGAGGAAUGGCUGGAUCCUCAAUAUAGACACAGUUAACUAACUUCACUUCGUUUAUGUGGUUGCAUCCCUCUGGAAAAAAUUAAAUUACAGAAAAUUUCGAGUUCAUCACUUUAGUAAUAUAUGAGGAUCCACUCACUGAAAUGUGGGAAGCCAAUGUGGCUGAUUGCAGAAUCAGUAGCAUCAACUACUUGAAUAUGUUUACGUGGUUCGUCUAAUGACGGAAGAGCAUUGUAAUCUGAAAGCAAAGGUCCACCCUCUGUCCACUUGAUUGCAGCUCCAUUUUUCAAUAACCAUUCAGCACACGCUCGAUCGGAUCCAACCUCUGCAACGCGCCGUGUGUCAACACUUGAAACAACCAAUUGUUGGUGAAAAAGAUGGUAUAUAUAUAUCAACAGAAAAAAUGAACAUAAUAUUCAUGAGAUUCUCCAAGUUCUAUAGAUUCUCUAAAGGUGAUUAUUAUUAGUGCAUCAAAUUUUUACUUGUUAAACAUAAGAGUGAUCCAAUAGAACAUUGGUCGUCGUGGUACUGACUGUGGCUCCAGAAAUUGAUGAAGGUUGCUAGAAAACUACCAAAAAUAUUAAUGGACAUGAAACACCGACAAUAAGGGUUUAUAAUAAAUGUGGUAGUUAGUGCGAUAAUGAAUGUGACAAAUACCAAAGACUUCCAUAC